rnacentral:lncRNA from 1 species
UGUUUCCUUACUUCAAGCCUUCAAGCUAACACUAGAAAUCAACUUUAAAACAUUUGAAACACAUUAUGACACUAGCCCUGCUAAAGCUUUUAUUAUUGUUAACAUGAACUAGAAAAAGGAAACGGAGAAGAUAGAAUCAGACAACCAAUUACAUUGAACAAAUAAUGUUCAUACCUUUACGCAUACCUGCAUAUUAUUCUCAUUCCAACGUGAACACAAGCAUACCUGAUUUAUUUUCAUCUCCACGAGCUAAAAUUGAAAAUAAUAAAAUUUUAAUACCACAAAAGUCUGAAAGAAAAACAGAGCUAAUCACGAUAACCAAUAAGGUAAUCAAUUAGCAUAUGUGAAUUCCACACAAACAAAAAAGAAUCAUACCAUAAUACUAUGUAGUUGAAACUCGAGCAUCUCGUGCAUAGGCAAAACUUUGAUUGGCCAUCUUACAAAUACUAUCAAACUGCUCCAUAUACAGAGGCUUGCAAAAAUUAAGAACUCAGAAUGUGAAACAAUAUGAUAAGCUUAAACAAGAUAAUGC